rnacentral:rRNA from 1 species
UACGUAGGUGGCAAGCGUUGUCCGGAAUUAUUGGGCGUAAAGCGCGCGCAGGCGGUCCUUUAAGUCUGAUGUGAAAGCCCACGGCUCAACCGUGGAGGGUCAUUGGAAACUGGGGGACUUGAGUACAGGAGAGAAGAGUGGAAUUCCACGUGUAGCGGUGAAAUGCGUAGAGAUGUGGAGGAACACCAGUGGCGAAGGCGACUCUUUGGCCUGUAACUGACGCUGAGGCGCGAAAGUGUGGGGAGCAAACAGG